rnacentral:ncRNA from 1 species
CCGGCAGGAGAUCAAAAGGGAAUCCCGUGAAAGUCGGGAACUAUCCCCGUAGCUGUAAGUUCCUGCCAAAGGCCGCGCAAACCCGAAUGCCACUGUCGGUUUACCCGAUGGGAAGGCGCGCGACCCGGAACAAGUCAGAAGACCUGCCGGAUGAAUU